UGGGGAAUAUUGGACAAUGGGCGAAAGCCUGAUCCAGCAAUACCGCGUGUGUGAAGAAGGCCUUCGGGUUGUAAAGCACUUUAAGUUGGGAAGAAAAAACUUUACCUAAUACGUGAAGUCUUGACGGUACCGACAGAAUAAGCACCGGCUAACUCUGUGCCAGCAGCCGCGGUAAUACAGAGGGUGCUAGCGUUAAUCGGAUUUACUGGGCGUAAAGCGUGCGUAGGUGGUUUGAUAAGUCGGUUGUGAAAGCCCCAGGCUCAACCUGGGAAUUGCGGCCGAUACUGUCAGACUCGAAAACGGUAGAGGGAGGUGGAACUCCAGGUGUAGCGGUGAAAUGCGUAGAUAUCUGGAAGAACAUCGAUGGCGAAGGCAGCCUCCUGGGCCUGUUUUGACACUGAGGCACGAAAGCGUGGGUAGCAAACA
rnacentral:rRNA from 1 species